GGUUGUGGCUCAGUGGUAGAGCACUUGCCCUAAGACAGUUGAGGCCCUGGGUUCGAUCCUCAACACAUUA
rnacentral:tRNA from 1 species